GAUGGCCUGCUCGAAGGCGAUUUUGAGGGCGGACAUGAGGUGGGACGGGAGGCCGUUGGUGGUGUGGCGGUGCGGCGGCAGCUCCGGCGAGGAUGGGAGGGCGAGCUCCACCGGCUGGAUGGAUUUGGAGUAGGUGCCGGCGAUUCUGCCAUGGAUGGAGCUUAGAUUGACGGCUGUUGAACAGAAGUAGAUGUGGAAGCUUCUGUCUGCGAGUUUCAUGGCCAAUUCUAGGUAAGGGUUUACAUGGCCAUGGGCUAGCCAUGGAAACAUUAAGAUCUUCAUGGUCUCUUUUCCUUCUCUAUCGACCACUCAAUUGAAGAUGAUGAUUAUAUAUAUAUAGUAAGGUAAGGUUAUAACUAUAUAAUAAUUUGCAUUUGAAUUCAAUCAAUAUAAUUAAUAAAGUUACAUCAUUUGAUGUUA